rnacentral:rRNA from 1 species
UACAGGGGGGGCAAGCGUUGUCCGGAAUCACUGGGCGUAAAGGGCGCGUAGGUGGCGACCCAAGUCCGUGGUGAAAGCUCGUCGCUUAACGACGAGUCGGCCACGGAGACUGGGUGGCUCGAGCACUGUAGGGGCAGAUGGAAUUCCGGGUGUAGCGGUGGAAUGCGUAGAGAUCCGGAAGAACACCAGUGGCGAAGGCGGUCUGCUGGGCAGUUGCUGACACUGAGGCGCGACAGCGUGGGGAGCAAACAGG